rnacentral:sRNA from 1 species
AAACUAAAACCAGCUUAUGCCCAUAAUCCUAGAAACCUAAACGGAUCGUAUGUUCAUCGUUUUUUUAAUAAAUUUUUUUUAAUUAUAAAUUUUAUCGAUUGAUCCGGUCAAUUUCUAUAAAACAGAGUGGAUUUCUCCCUUAAGGACUACCAUACUGUCUGUUCCGAAUUUGAAAUGCCACAUGUAUUUCUGACUACCAGGUAAUCUAAUUGGGGCAAAACCCAACUAAUAGACUUUUCAAACAAAUGUGAUAAAAAAAAAAAAAAAUCAUCAAAUGAGGAGAGACUCAAUAUGAGUUUUCAUAUUACAU